rnacentral:rRNA from 1 species
UACGGAGGGUGCGAGCGUUGUCCGGAAUCAUUGGGCGUAAAGAGCGUGUAGGCGGCCAGACCGGUCCGUUGUGAAAACUGGAGGCUCAACCUUCAGACGUCGACGGAAACCGUCUGGCUAGAGUCCGGAAGAGGAGAGUGGAAUUCCUGGUGUAGCGGUGAAAUGCGCAGAUAUCAGGAAGAACACCGAUGGCGAAGGCAGCUCUCUGGGACGGUACUGACGCUGAGACGCGAAAGCGUGGGAGCGAACAGG